rnacentral:rRNA from 1 species
GACAGAGGUGGCAAGCGUUGUUCGGAAUUACUGGGCUUAAAGGGCGCGUAGGUGGUGGCAUAAGUCCGAGGUGGAAGGCUAAGGCUCAACCGUGGAACUGCAUUGGAAACUUCUAGGCUUGAGUGUCUAAGAGGUGAGGGGAAUUCUCGGUGUAAGGGUGAAAUCUGUAGAUAUCGAGAGGAACACCAGCGGCGAAGGCGCCUCACUGGUAGACAACUGACGCUGAGCUACGAAAGCAAGGGGAGCAAACAGG